rnacentral:pre_miRNA from 1 species
UGUGGGUGUUAACUCGGUCAGAUGCUAAUUUAUUUCCAUCACCGGGUUAACAUUCAUCCG